rnacentral:rRNA from 1 species
GACGAACGCUGGCGGCGUGCCUAAUACAUGCAAGUCGAGCGAAAGGACGCGAAGCUCGCUUUUCUCGUGUUAGCGACGGACGGGUAAGUCACACGUGGAUAACCCACCUCUAAGACUGAGGUAACGUCGGGAAACCCUAGCUAAUACCGGAUGAUAUUUUGAACCGCAUGGUUCGAAAGUGAAUGCCGUUUUUGCUGUCCCUUAUAGCUAUAUCCGCGCUGGUUUAGCAAGUUGGUAAGGUAACGGCUUACCAUGGCCACGAUGCAUAGCCGACCUGAGAGGGUGAUCGGCCACACUGGGACUGAGACACGGUCCAGACUCCUACGGGCGGCAGCAGUAGGGAAUCUUCCGCAAUGGGCGGAAGCCUGACGGAGCAGCGCCGCGUGAGUGAUGAGGGUCUUCGGGUCGUAAAGCUCUGUUAGUAGUGAAGAACACAUGUGUAAGGAACGGUGCAUAUCUUGACGGUACCUAAUCAGGAAGCCACGGCUAACUACGUG